ensembl:lncRNA
CAGAAUCCAGUCCUGUGGGCAAGCAGGAGGCGUAGUCUUUCUUCCCUUCCUUUCCCUAAGCUCACCAAGCUGUUCUUUUGAAACUUAUGACCAUCGCCCCAUCAAACCUUCUUCAACUUAAAGUCCAGGGCUGACCUGGGAGCCCUGCUUUGUUGGUAACGGGGAACACAAAAGCUGAAAAUGCCUGGAAGAGUGUGGCUUCCUGUAGCUGCAGGCCAGAGAUGUAACACCUGGGGCACUGGGUGGACCACAGAAAUAUGUUUGAUGAGAAAACUGCUAUUCUCCAUUUCUCUUCGUUGUUCUGAGCCAGGUCUCUGCCUCUUUCCUAGGGAGGAAAUUUGGUAGCAAGUGUCAGAAAAGUUAACGUCUAAGAUUGGAAUAGGUUCCUAGGGGAUGAAGGUGGGGAUGGUCAUCUCCCUUUCUACCAAACUUAGAGACAUAACGUGAUGACUCUCUUACCAUCCUUCACCCUCGCAUCUCUAGAAAGGACGAUUUUGGGGUAGCCCAGCAGCUGUAGCCUUAAGUGAAAUCGGGAGGAAAUUAUAGUUUAUCUUGGGUGUCCUCCUUUCUUUUCUGUGCCUCUCCCCUGUCCCUUUGCAUUGUUCUCUUCUCCUUCCAAGUUAUUUCUGUCCAGGAGAUUAUGUCCUCCAUCUGCUCUACCCAGAAGUGCCCAGACAGACCUCCUGGGGCAGGAGCACAUACUAGAAAAGGACUACACCUUUCUGCUUCUUCCACACUUCAUCACUACUCUGGUUCCUUUGGGGGGUUUAUCCUAGCUGGUAGUUAGGAGAAAAGCAUCUAAUUAAGAUAAUUCAAAUUAAAGUCAUGAAAAUGCUCUUCUUAAAGAGCUUGGCUAUUUCCCCAUACUCCUAAAAAUAGCCAACAUAGGCUACCCAAUUGGGCUGACAUGGGGGAAUCUUCUUUAAACCGUGACUCUCUCCUCUUUCUCCCUUUUAUAGUCUACAGUCUCUGUAGGCAACUUUAGAGAAGGCCAGACUCUCUUCCCUCCUCUCAUGCCUCACUGAGAAAUUUCCCAGAAAUUUAAGCUGGAAGCUAGGAAAUAACCCCAGUAAUGGUUUCCUGAAAUGCACUGGGCAUUUUCAACUUGACAGGUCCUUGAGUGAGUGUCUACAUCUCUGUAGCAGGAAGUUGCCAUGAUCCUUAUCACUCUUCCCUGGUCCCCUCAUAUCCCCAGAAAUCCAGAGCUUCCAGAAACAGAGUAGAUUGUUGACCUCAGGAGAAAGUAGAUGCAAUGGACUGUUUGUGAUGAGGGGGGAUUCGAUAAUCUCCUGGAACAGAAAUAAUGAAGAUGCAGGCCAGCCUUUACCAUUUAUGACCUGUUUUCUUGGUCUGAUUUGCCCCUUUGGGAGAAACUUAGGGGGCAGGAGCACAAGAAUGGGGGCCCAUAAACACGCCUCAUGUUCUCUGAAGUAAGGUUAAGAGGCAGCCUAGAUAAAAGCUCUCUUUCUGCUUGUCAGAGGCUACAGAGAUGGUGUGGUUCAGGUGUCUGUCACGGUUAAUUUCAUGGGUCAACUUGACUGGGUUAAGGGAUGCCCAGAUAGCUGGUAAAACAUUAGUUCUGAGGGUGCUUCUAGAAAAUAUUAACAUUUGAAUUGGAAGAUUGAUUUGAAGAAGUCAUGGUAAAGAAUCCUCACCAAUGUGGUUGGGCAUCAUCUAAUCCACUCAGGGCUCAAAUAGGGCAAAAAGGAAGAGGAAGAGUGAAUUUGCCCUCUGCUUGAGCUGGGAUAUCCUCUUCUCCUGCACUUGGACAUAGGCGCUCCUGGUUCUCAGGCCUUUAGACUUAGACCAGGACUUACACCAUCGGCCCCCUGAGUUUCAGGCCUUUGGACUCAGACUUACACCACUGGCUCCUCUGGUCCUCAGACUUUCGAAUGGGGACCAAAUUACACCAUUGGUUUUCUUGGUUCUCCAGCUGGCAGACUGUGGGACUUCUCGGCCAAUUCCUGUCAUCAAUCUUUCCAUAUAUCUGUAUCUCUAUCUAUGCAUCUAUAUCUAUAUUUUUAUUUAUCCUAUUGGUUCUGUUUCUCUGGAGAACUCUGACUAAAACAGCAUCUCUACAUAAUUUCCCCCAAAUCAAUAAGGGACUAAAUGGAGCUGAAGUUCUUAUUCUCCAUUUCAGUUUACUUCCUUAAGCAAAUGUGGAAUGUUGCGGAAGACAGAUCUUGUAUAUUCAUUAGGAUUUUGUCAGCUUAAAAGGCAAGAAGGGAGGGAUUUGUUGACUUGUGUACCAGGAAAUCUAAAACAUGACUCUUCAGAGGUGACUGGGUUUAGGGGUUUAAAUAAUGUCGUUAGCUCUGUCUCCCCAUCGUUGGCUUGUUUGCCCCUGUGUUGGCUUCAUUCCCAGGUAGGCUUUCCCCACCUUCUGGACAAGAUGGCCUCCAGCGGCAGUGGCUAUUACUUUGUUUAUGUCUUUCCCACUAUUCAAAAGUAUUCCUGUCCCUUCAAAAGGCCGAUAGGCCUGGCUUGGUCCAAGGGUCCUUACCUGAAGCGACCAUUACAGCUGGGAGGAUGAAGUCCCUGAUGGCUAGCUCACAUCUUGAGCCUGCCAUGUUCGGGAAGACCAGGCAGGGGAUUGGCCAUCCGGUUAGGUAGAGGAGGAACAAUUCUCAAAAGGAAAAUAUACUGGCAGAUAAAAAGUAACAUAUCCAUACAGUUUUAUACUAGCUCAAAAGCUAAUUCAAAUGAACAAGCAAUAGGGCGAGAGAUGUGAGCAAUACAGAGAUUUAUAAGACAGGCUUUUUGUCCUUAAAGAGCAUAUAAUCUAGUUGUUCUGGAAGUUGGCCACAUUCUUUAUUUAAUAAUUUGAGGAAACAUGAAUGACUUCAUUGGAAAAUAUUUUCUGAGUUCUUACUUAAUGCCGGGCAUCAUGCUAGAUUCCUGUCAUACAAGGAAGAAAGACAAACCUCUUCCCACGAGGAGCUUACAGUCAGGUGGGAGAGACAAGUAAACCAGCAAACGUUUUCAAUGCGGGGCCCCAAGAGCAAUGAUAGACGUGUGCACAGCUGUUAUGAGAGCCCCAAAGGCGCCUAUUCGACAUUAGGCUCAGAGGAGCUGACAUGUGAGCCAAAGCUGGAAAAGCAAGUGGGCGUCAGGUGAGGGUCGGGGAGGGUUUUGCAGGCAAAGGGACCAGCAUCUGCAAAGGUCCAGGGGUGUGCAGUAGGGUGCUGUGUUUAGAGAAUUGUAGAUAGUUUGAAUGAAGUUUAUGAGGGGAUACGAGACAGAUGAACCCAAAGAGGUAGGCAGGAGCCAGAUCACGGAGAGCCCUGUGCCAGACACACAGAUGUGAGCUUGUCCCUGAGGGAUUUUAAACAGGGCAUGGACGUGUCCAGAUCCGCAACUGAGCAUGCAGCUUCUGGCAACAGAUGGAGUAGAGUGAGCCAGACCGGAGGCACGAGGAGUAGUGAGAAGGCUGCUGUGGGAGAGGGCGGAAGAUAUGAAGAGGACUUCCUCACAGAGAAUGCCAGCUCGUAAAGUGAUGCUGGAGAAUUGGGGAAUGAAGUGUCUUGAUAUCGUCAACCUACUUUCAAAUGGCUCCAGAAAAUGUUUAAGCACAACCAGAGGCAACAAUCAUACUAACAACGGGCCGUAACUUAUGGUGCUGGGAAGCAGAGAGCUGCGAGUCAAGAGCACUGGCCGGGAAUCAGGAUGCUGGAGUUCUGAUCUUGGCUCUUCCAGGAAGCAGCUAUGUUAAGGAGAGACUGUAACAGGAGUAACUCGCGGACUCUUCCGAUGAUUUCUACUGCCCUUGGAAACCUCCGUAUCACUCCUGCAAUUCCUAACACCUGAUUCUUCUCGUCUCAGAGCAAGAGGGGAGAAGAGCCUUGGCUCAAGGUUGAAGCGGGGCUGGGCAUGUCCUAGGAACACGGCUCCUCCGCGGGGAAUGCGCCUGAGAGCUGGGCUGUCAGUUGGCAGGGAUGUUGUUAUCAGCACUCUGCUGUUCAACUUCACUAUUUGUUCCAAAAAUGGUCAUUGUGAUAACUCAGAAUUAAAUCUCUG